CGUUGGCUGACAUCUAUCGUGCAAUAAGAGAGGCUAUCGUUUUACCGACAGUGUCGAAAACGGAAGUCAAGGCCACUUCUGUUUCCCGCCAAAAUUGUAGCCGUUGUACAACGAUGGCGUCCCUGGACGCCAUUUUGAUUCCCUGUUCGUCAGCAACACACGGCAUUUGGUUUGCACAGUAGAAGAAACAUUUUGUUCACUCAAUUGUUGAGUUUUCUACUUGUUAUUUGUUUUAGACGAUCGAUUCUGGUUUUAAAAGAUUAAAAACAAGAAAAAUCUGAGAACAAAAUUAAAACUAUCGUAAACUUUCUCCAAUAAGUCAAUCAUCCACAUGAAAUUCCCUGAUCGCUACUUUCGAUCAUGGCCACUAGGAGUCACAGAAAAUUCAGACUUCGGCAGCAAGUGGAGCGAAUCGAAUCAUUGAACUCCGGUCUCCUUGUGAAAGAUUAUUUUCAAAAUUUUCAAAAUUUUGAUUUUAAUCCAGAGGAGGGAUCUCCGAAUUUCAAUGAUUUGACAAGUAACACUUGGAAACAAGCAGGGAAUUUACUACAAUGACUAAAAACCAAAGAACUCGAAGAAAAAACAAUGAAAAUGAUCAAAAACUGUCCUCAAAAUGCAGUCAUUGCCAUUUGGAAUUCCCUGAUCGGUACUUUCGAUCCUGGCCAUUAGAAUUCACAGGAAAUUCAGAUUUCGGCAAUAAGUGAAACAAAUCGAAUUAUUGAAAUCCGGUCUCCUUAUAAAAGAUUAUUUUCAAAAUUUUGUCUUUAAUCCAGAGGAGGGAUCUCCGAAUUCCAAUGAUUUGACGAGUAACACUUAAAAACAAGGGAAUUCACUACAAUGAAUUAAAUGAUGCUAUUUUAAAGAAAAGGACAGGAAAAUAGAUCUAAAAGACAGUGACGUCAAUGAAUGUCGAUGGAUGGUUGAAAAACGUUUUUUUGCAAAUGCUGCUAUGUUGUCUACGUGUCACAGUGAAUAUCAACGAUCGGUAGUGAAGGUUGAAAAGUGAUUAUAUAGCUUCGGGAGUGUUCGACUUUUUUAAAAUCGCGAUCGUUUAUUAGGUUUAAAGUAUAUUUUUUAAACAGUGAAAUCGGGAGUGAAAGUGUUGUAGAAAACUUUUGCAAAAAGAAUCACCAAGGAAGAAAACCAUAAUCGGUUUUCCUGAAAGAAUAUUUUAUUUGAAGUCAGUGUCUUCUGCUGCCAAAUUCAGAUGUUUCCAUUUCGUCUACGCCAUGGUUUUCAACGAAAGAUUCACGAAUGGCGUGCACUGGACGAUGAUGGGAUUUCUGCGAAUAUUCUUUCUUUAAGAUAUUUACAGAUGUGUUGAAAAGUGAUUAGCUUCGGGAGUGUUCGAUUUUAAAAUCGCGAUCGAUUAAUUAGGUAGUGUAUUUUAGUGAUUAACAAUUAAUGCCACUUAGGAAGCAACAAGGAAGGGAAACACGCGACGCAUCAUAGGCAUCCCUAUCAUCAACAGAUGGAGAGGAUGAAAUAUACUUCACAGACGACACCGUUAAGGGAGAAAUUUCAUUAUUUUU